rnacentral:tmRNA from 1 species
CCGAGUUUACAACUCCCAAACCCAAUGUGAACGUUACCAAACUGUUGCCUCGGCGGGAUCUUCUGCCCCGGGUGCGUCGCAGCCCCGGACCAAGGCGCCCGCCGGAGGACCAACUCCAAAACUCUUUUGUAUACCCCCUCGCGGGUUUUUUAUAUCUGAGCCAUCUCGGCGCCUCUCGUAGGCGUUUCGAAAAUGAAUCAAAACUUUCAACAACGGAUCUCUUGGUUCUGGCAUCGAUGAAGAACGCAGCGAAAUGCGAUAAGUAAUGUGAAUUGCAGAAUUCAGUGAAUCAUCGAAUCUUUGAACGCACAUUGCGCCCGCCAGUAUUCUGGCGGGCAUGCCUGUCCGAGCGUCAUUUCAACCCUCGAACCCCUCCGGGGGGUCGGCGUUGGGGAUCGGCCCUUUACGGGGCCGGCCCCGAAAUACAGUGGCGGUCUCGCCGCAGCCUCUCCUGCGCAGUAGUUUGCACACUCGCAUCGGGAGCGCGGCGCGUCCAUUGCCGUAAAACACCCAACUUUCUGAAAUGUUGACCUCGGAUCAGGUAGGAAUACCCGCUGAACUUAAGCAUAUCAAA